UCCUUAGACGUUCUGGGCCGCACGCGCGCUACACUGACCAGUGCAACAAGCAUCCGUCCUUGGCCGACAGGCCCGGGCAAUCUUUGAACGCUGGUCGUGAUGGGGAUAGACUUUUGCAAUUUUUGGUCUUCAACGAGGAAUUCCUAGUAAACGCAAGUCAUCAACUUGCAUUGAUUACGUCCCUGCCCUUUGUACACACCGCCCGUCGCACCUACCGAUUGAAUGGUCCGGUGAAGCCUCCGGAUUGGCGCGCACCUCGGUGCCGCCGAGAAGUUGGCUAAACCUUACCAUUUAGAGGAAGGUGAAGUCGUAACA
rnacentral:rRNA from 1 species